CAGCCGGAGCGCUUUCCUGAUCACGUCGGGAUCCGGGAACCCCAUACAGAGCAGCGUCGUUAUGUGCUGCUCCUCUUCGGUCUCCAUUUUUCAGGUGUCUCGGGCUCCUGGCGCCGACACAGGUGUGAAGACGAAAUCUGCACGCCACGAACCGGAGGAACCCACUGUGUGGCGCGUGCACACGGCGGGAACGACUCUGUCAAAGCUAUACGUUAAUGCUGUGGCAUCUCACGUGAAAAAAUAAAUAAAGAUUUAAACCUGAAA